rnacentral:rRNA from 1 species
UACAUGUGGGGCAAGCGUUGUUCGGAUUUACUGGGCGUAAAGGGCGCGUAGGCGGUCAGCACAAGUCAGUUGUGAAAUCUCCGGGCUUAACUCGGAAAGGUCAACUGAUACUGUGCGACUAGAGUGCAGAAGGGGCAACUGGAAUUCUCGGUGUAGCGGUGAAAUGCGUAGAUAUCGAGAGGAACACCUGCGGCGAAGGCGGGUUGCUGGGCUGACACUGACGCUGAGGCGCGAAAGCCAGGGGAGCGAACAGG